UUUAACAACUUCUUGAGGGCUGCACCUUUAAAUUCCCACAUUGUCAGUUGACAUGUACAGUAUAUGGGAUAAGGUGGACACAAGUGCACAUAUAAAUAAACCUUCUUAUUAAGACUAUUUUAAAUGCUCAUUUAUAGUAGGAGUAUCUAGAAAUCAUCUCUACAUGUCAUAAUUAGGUUAUGUGCCUACUGUAGUUUUUCCAUUUCUGUAUUAUAAAAUAAUGUUUGCAUAUUAAAAUUGAUUUUUCCCAGAGACAAGUAUUAUAUAAUGUAUCUAUAUUUAGAUCAAACUGUGGUAAUAUAUUUAUCAGGACACAAUGUUGGGGACUGAACAUGUGGACUUGCAAUGGCACGGAGGAGGGUAGUAGAGAUGAUCCCAUUGUGUAUAAGUUACAUGGUAACUACGAGUUCUUGUACAAAAAUGAAAACUGGAAAAAAAAAUACAGUUUUUAUUUUGAAAUACAUUUGUUGUUCUCUGGAGAAUGUACUCAUCUUUUUUUCCUUCAGUCUUUUGCCAAUAUUUCAAAGCAUUUACUUAAAUCUCAUAGGUGCUACUGGAUCUUGCAUUCGUGUGUGAUGUUGUGAAAUCCUGACUUUGACAUAAAAGGUUUUAUAAGUAUUUUCCUGCCUGGAAAAUUAAUUUUUAUACUUCUUCUCCCCUGCUCCCUCUCAUUUCUCUCCAGAUGAAAAAAAGUUCACCAAGUUGUACCCUCCUUGUCCCUAGCUAUAGACAGUCUGCAGCAGCAUCAUAGAUUCCAUGUUUCACGGUCAUCCAACUGUUGGGAAACAGAGGAAAAGCUGUUUCUUUUUUCAGGGCCUCGCAUAUGCUAGGCAAAUACUCUGCCACUAAGCUAUACCUCAGCCCUAUAUAAAAUCUUAAUGAAGAAAACUUUCAGAAUGACUACCUCAGAACACUUGGCUAGAAUGCAGAUGUGCUGGAAGUGAAUGCUUUCGCUACAACUUCAGUGUGAAAUGGAGCAGCAAAGAGUAAUUGCUGAACGUUUCCUCUGUGAGGCACUGUCCCAGUUGAUUGUCAUCUUACUUCUAUUUGCAGUGGCCCUUCUAGGGCUGUUCCUUUGGGAGGCAAGGAAGGGGAAGGGCUCAAAGCAUUGCACCUGCUAUGUUCCACAGUUAUCAGUCUGGCCAUCUUGUAUACCAAUCAAAAGGAAGUCUUGCUCAUAAUUUUGGUACAAAUUUUCAUCUAGAUUGUCUGACUUGCCUCUUGAGAAUAUGUUAGGACACUUUUUUCUGAUACUGGGAUUUGAACCCAGAGCCUCACCCUUACUAGACAGGCACUCUGCCAUUUGAGCCAUUCCCUAGCACUUUUAUUUUUCAGAUAGAGUCUCACGUUUUUGCCUGGGACUGGCCUCAGACUGUGACCCUUCUACUUAGACCUCCAACGAAGCUGGGGUUACAGGCACACACCACCUUACCCAGCUUGUUGAUUGAAGUGGAGGGGGUUUCCCUAACUUACUUUUUGCCCAGCUUGACCUCAAACUGCAAUCCCCCCAAUCUCUGACUCCUGAGUAGCUGAGAUUACAGGUAUGUACAACCAGGACUUGCCUAUUAGGGCACUUCUUAACUAUUUUGUGUUUGCUCUUUUUGAACUUCUUUGGCCUUCUUUAUGCUAGCAAUUCUUGCCAUUAAGUCAGAAAUCAUACAUUCUUUGCAGGUAUCUUAUUUAUGGACCAUGUUUUAGUACCAAUCUAAAGAAGAAAAAAAUUCCAAUAAUCUAACAAUGAGUAAUUCUUCUUAGGCAGUAUUUUAGUCUAUUAAAUGUAAGGAGUAGACUUUAUAAAGGCUUUCAGAAAGCAGCUCAUCUCUUAAAUUCCAUAGUAAAACAAGUUGUAAAUCUGGAGAGCACAUCACCAUCCCCCUACAGUUCACUGGGAUGUGGGCUUUGCUGUCAGUUCUGGGUGACUGUGGUCAGUGCUGGUUCUGUAGAAGGUAAAGCCUCUCCAGCUCAAUCAAACCACUAGGCCAGUGGCAGAAAUUAACUCCAGGAGCAUUUUUAUAUAGUUUCUAGUGGAGCAGACAACAACUAUUAAAGCACUUGUAUUGUGCUGAACAUGGAAAAUAAUAACCCUCCAAGAUUUUAUGUAGCACAUUGUCAGCCUUUUUAUUGUGAUAAAAUAUUCAUAACAUGAAAUUCACUAUUUAAACUAUCUGAAGUGUACAUUUGUAGUGUUGUGUUAUCACCACCACUGUUGUUUCCAGAACUUCUCAUCAUCCCUGGUAAGCUCUGUUCUACUUUAUGCCUGUAUGGUUUGCUUACUCUGGUUGCCUCGUAGAAGUGGGAUAUUUGUUUUAUGUUUGACUUGUUUCACUUAGCAUGGUAAGGUCAAGAUUCAUUAUUUACUCUUUUCUAAAUCAUUUAUUGAGCACCUACUAUGACAGACUCCAUUUUGGAGCAGAGACUGGAGAGAUUUUCAUAGUUUAGUGGAGGACAAAGUUACCUUCCCCUGCAUAAGUGUUGUGAUAAAGAACACUAGCAUGAAGCUGCCUAGAAGGAAAGAGGGUUGGGAAGUAUUUCCCAGAGAUGACCCUCCUUGAGUUGCUGAAGGAAUGGGAGCUAGCUAGUUGUCAGAGUGAAAGACGAUAGCAGAGAGUAAGUUAUUUGUAGAGGCACUGAGACAAGACAGGCAUGUGCCACCAAACCCAGCCUUUUAUUGAUUGAGAUGGAGUCUCACUUUUUGCCUAGGUUGGCCUUAUACUGCAAUCCUCCCAAUCUCCACCUCCUUAGUAGCUGGGAUUCAGUGUGAGCCCAGGCAGUUCUACAAAAUCACACUGAUCCCUGCUGAGAGAAUGUGUUAUGGCAGUGGCAGUGGGGAUGGAAGAGAUGCAGUGAUGGAUUCAGAGGGUAUUUAGGAGGUAGACCUCAAAUUAGUGGGAAUUCUUGAUUAAUUAAGAAAAGUGUGGGGUGGCUCCUGGAUCUCUUGAAUUGGAUAACCAGACAGUAGUGAAUUCAAGAUGGGGUAGAAGCUUGGUUUUGAUGGAGGCAAGGAAGUAGACACAAAAGAUGAAUGAGUUAGUUUCUUUUCAGAUGUAUUUUUUUCUUCUGUGCUGGAAUGGCUGAAAUAAUUAAGUUUUGAGUUUAGUAUGCAUAUAGGAUAUCCAGGUACAGCUGUAGGUUUAGAUGGUACAUAGGAAAUAUUAGCUGAAGAUAGAUAAUCAGGAAUUGUGUAUAAUUGAGGGCAUGAAAAAUGGAAAGAAUACAGGGUAGUAGAAAUGGCCUGGUGCAGCUUGAGAAAGAGGACUAGCCAAAAGGGAUGGGUGGCCAACCAGAAGACUGGGGCCUUAUGGAAGCCUGGUAUGGAAUUUCAGAUUUCACAGAAAAAUAAAUCAGUUCAUCAACUCUUGUCUCAGGAUAAUGGUAUUCGGACUGUGUUCUUUUGAGAUCUUUCAUGUUAAUGCUUAAUAUUAGGAUAUCUUUUAACUUUAAGGGUGUUAAAACCCAACAAACUCAAAUGUCUAACUUUUUAAAACAUUGAAAUCCUAUAACCAUCAAUACCAGGUUAGCUUUUUUGUGCAGAUGCCAGAAUAAGGCUAUGUCUGGUGAACUGAAGAGCUUCCUGGUAUUUCAAGGUGAGCUGGUAAAGAAUUGCUGCUAUUUCUCGAUUUGAACCAUAAUGUUCUCAGUGUGUACAACUGAACCAAAAUACAGAAGGCAACUUUUGUCUGCUGUAGACCCAUCUCAAACACUUCAUUGUGUGAAUACCUUGUUUUCCUUAUUGACUUAAGAUUAAAUGUUAUAGAAUUAUUUGUUAAUACAUAGUAGUCAUCACUAAGACCAGGUAAGUUUGCAUUCACAUUGCUAUAGAAAUUUUAGAAAGUUAAUGAUUUUGUUAUCUUAAAUGUUCCUAACUUUCUUUUUCUUACUAAUUCAUAAGCAGACAACUAACUGCAUGCAAAUGAUCUUCAGUGGAAAUUAUCUCAAAUGAUGAUGACAAAAAAAAAUAUUCAAAUGGUAACAAGAACAGCAAAUAUGUGUUUGGUUUCAGACUGCUCUAUGGUACUUGAUUUUUAUUUCUAGUUUAAGUUACAUUUAAAAUUCCUUGAGUAGAUACAAUUUGUUCUACUUGGGUAAUAAAUUGAGGAUGUUCAGCAUUCCAGGAAGAAAAAAAAAGGACUGCCAGAAUUCAUAACUGGCUCCAAAUAAUCUAUAGAACUUGAAUGUCACUUGUGAAUUGUCAAGUAAACAAUAACUUUUAAAUCACUGUUUUCAUAUUUUUCUACUUAGUGAUUAACCUUGGUCUCCUUUAGUGGAGCCUUUACUUUAAAGUAUGUUCUGUGCGUUAAAAGCUCAGCACUGUGUGAGUAGCAUAGUUCAUAGUUCAUGGUGCAUGGGCAACUGUACCUCUCACAACAGUUUUCACAGCAGUUUUGUGACCUAAGUGUUACCGCCAUCCCCAUUUUAAAGAUGGGAAGUCUGGGGUUCAACAAGAUCAGCCAAGUGAAAAGCAGACUAAGACGACACACAGACCUCUGCCUUCUCUGCCAGUGUGCCUGAACUGUGACCUGCAGAUGUUUUUUAAGAAGGUAGGUAUAAAAGUCUAUUAAUUUCCUGUAUUUAGCAAUAAUCACCAAAUGAGAAGAAUCUGAUGAUUUGUUUCACGACUCACAGUGAUACAGCUUUGAGUUUCUCUCUCCCUAUCUCUCCCCUUUUUAAGAAAAAAAGCUUGUUUUAUUUAUGUAAGUGGUUCAUGUGUACUUUAUUUUGGUAAUGUUUCCAAUAAUACAGAUAAAGCAAGUCACCCUUGACUUCUCAGUUCUGUCUCUUGAAAUUAUUUGAAGACAUGCCACAGUUGUCUAGCAUUCUGUAUAAAUCAUAUGCAACAUAUAUGUAUCUAUUGAAACAGUUUAGUUGGAGGAAACUGUAUCAUCUGGUAUAUAUUCUA